ensembl:lncRNA
AUUUUCUUUAAGUGAUAUUUAAGCAUAAAUAUACAGGUGAACUUCCCUCAGCUGUCAGAGGCUGAGAUUACUUUCAGAGAAUUAAAAACAUGGAAUGCUGUGUAUUCCUGUAAAAAGGCAUACUUCAGGAUCUUGAACAUUGUGGCAGCACUGAAAAUGUGAAUCUCUAGGGGUCAGGUAAACAGAGCGCAGAUCUUCUAUCAAAAUCAAAACUGCAUUAAUGCAGUCCUGCCGAACUGCGUGGCAAAGCAAGAGAUGAUGUGUUACAAGGCAGUAACCUGUCUGCACUGGUUUUGUGUGAUGUUACUUGCAAAUUGGAGCUGCCAAAUUCUACUUCAUGUAUAUCUGUAUCUGCUGAAAGCAGGAGGAGUCCUGUGAUUACAGUGCAGCAAGGCCCAUGCAAGACCAUAGGAGAACUGGCUGGAGAGGAAAUAAGGGAGCAGUAAUGCAAAUGGUACUUCAGUUUCUUUUAAUAUGCUUCCUUGUAGGAGGCCAGUAAAAUGUUGUUUUCCAACAUUAGUAAAGUCUGGUUAUGAGAAGAACCAAACUGAAAGUGACCUGCAGAUAGCCUUCACAAAAGAUGGCAUGCUAACAGGGUGGGUGGUGACUUUACACCAGAGGUGCCCUGUGAAAAACCUUAUUUCAGGUGCUCUGAACCAUUGCAAAUGCAUUUUCUUUCAGAAGGAUUUCCCAGACGUACUUACUCUUCUCUUUCAGGGUUUACUGGGGAAGAGGAGUGGAUUCUGGGGACUGCAACAGAAACAAUUGUACGUACUUUAUGCCAGCUACAUGUUCUGUGUGGCAGAAAGACGCUUACUUCUGAGGUUUCUGGAAAGUGCCUGCUAGAAUGAUUUCCACUGUAUUCUCUGAUGGCCUCUGUGCUUUGCUACCCAGGUGCUGCUGGACUGACUACAGUUGUGCUGGAGAGCUGUUCUGAAUGAGCGUAGACAAUCAAAUGCUUCAUCAAAGCUGAAGUCCAGGUGUGUGUGUGCUGCUCAGCAUGUGUAUGCACACGUCUGUGCAGGCUGUCCCCAGAUGAAACACAGACACCCUUGUAAAGAGAAGUGAGGACGCUUUGAUAGGUACUCAGUUUGGGAAACCCCUUUUUCCUGCUUUCACUGGGGUUUUCUGGCAGGGCUAUGUGUUGAAAAGGAGGCAAUAGAAGCUUAGGUUUUUCAUUUUUCAAGGGGAAUGUUUCUGAAAUACCUUUUUUUUUCAAAAUCUUCAGAAAUAAUUUGGCAUCGAACUAUAGUGGCUUGAGAUGUGUAUUAUCUUAAAGCCUAACCUCGAUGUAUUUUAAAGAUGUUCAUUAACAAAGCUUUUCUGCUAUGCGUAGUGCACAAAAGUAGUCUCUCAUUACUCCUUGUCUGUGUGCAGUGACACUGAGAAAAGGUUGGAUUUCCUUUGUUCCAGUGGUGAUUUGUGGCCUUGGAUAUUAUAGACAUUGGAUACUGUGAAGGAGUAAAAUGCACACUGUACUGAAAUUCCAGACCCUGAAAUGAAGGUUGUUCUUAAAGCUUAUUAGACUGGCGUUCAAACUGUCAUUUCCUUUCAAAAGCCUCUGUGGAAAAAGUAUUGGAAAGGCUACAAAAGUUGAGAAACUUGGAAUUGAAAUCAAGGACAGGUUUUGUAUCCUAGUCUGUUGGGGCCACAAAUUUAGCAACCACGUGAAAAAUACAUCUGUCCUCUCCAAAUAUAUGUACUUACAUGAGCAAAAUUGCUUUAUUUAUUUGACAAGACUGAAAUACAAUACGUAGUAGUCAAAGAUGGGUAGGUUAUAUCAGGCUUUGUGCUGCAUGAGAGCAAGUUCCAUCUCCUUGCUUUAUCACAGCAUCAGAAUAUUAUGAAAGGAAGCUGUUUUUUUUUCCCUUGGUCAGAUAAAACCCAUUCAAUGCUUUAUCUCAAUCUUAGGUUAGAAAGAAUUCUUUAAAGAACACACUAAAGUCAAGCCAAGCUUCUUGUCAAUGGAGUGUCUUGACAUGUCAGGGAAUGAAGUCAAGUCCUCUCCCCCCAAAAAAUCCCUUGUGCCACUUAAUACCACUUUAGUUUGUUUUUCAUGUGAGAACUGUGAUUUACUUGGGGCACAGUUACAGCCUCUGGCACAUCACUGUUCUGCGCCAAGAAAAAUAUCCGCCAGUAGAGAUUUUUUGUUGAAUUUUGACAGGGUUGCUGCUUGGAAUUCAGCACAGCACUGUUAUCAAAGAUGAAUUGUUUUUGCCAUUUAAUAUUUGUUAGGAGAGUUGCAUUGGAUGUGUGCUUUUUUCACUCCAGGGAAGGGAAGGAGGUACAGUGUAACUUCAUUGUGGAUUGUUUGUACCUGUAGCCAUUGGUUUCUUUCUCUUCAAUUUUCUCUAUGGAAUUUAUUUUUUUCACCCAGAGACACUAAAAUAUCUGAUUUGUGCAAGCACAGUAGUGAGACUGUUCUUCUCUGAAGAAGGUCAAUUUAUUUUACUGCUCUCUGACUUUAUCAGGUCAAAUUAUCUUCAGAGCAGAAAUAGACCAAAGAUGCCUCUCCCUUCUCCCUCCUCCCCCAAAUUAAAAAUCAGGUAUGGCAAAACAGAAACAUUAGUUUCCUAGUUGUCUACAUGCUGCUUUUUGAGUUAUUCCAAAAAGCCACUAGCUUGGUAGGAGAUGACUUCUAUUUAUUUAACAAGCUCCUAGGUGGAGGUCACAGUCAUCUUUGGAAGGUGUAACUCUCAGAUUUCCAAGUUUGGACCAUGUGGGCUAAACUCGAAGAAAUUCAGAAAGUCUGAGAAGAGUCUUCAGCCUCUGAAGCUGUUCUAUGUGUAUGUGCCACCACGUGCUCAGUUUUCAAUGGAUGCAAUGGAUGUAAGUCAUGACUCAUUGACACAAACCAGUAAUUUGCAUGCCAAAUUGAAAAACAGUGCCUGAAGACAAAUGCAUAGAGAACUGACCUCAGCCUAGAGAUCUGAUAAAGUAUGCUUAAAAAAACCCACACGUAUUCUUAGAAUCUCCCUGGAUUUUUGUGCUGCUGUUUCUGAGAUAGGUGGCUCCAGAUGACAGUUGGGUUACUGCUUUGCAAGACGUGUACUUCCAGUCUUACUGAAAUCCCAUUUCCCUAGAUAGUCUGUUUGUUCUGUUAUUUACAUUGCUGAUAACUGGUGAAUAGGCUUAAAACAGAAAAGCUGGUUUUGUAUCGAAUUAGGGCUUAAAAAAAUGCAGAUGUGAAGGAGGAGAUGAUACAAACCAUACAAUUUCUGAGGCCUUGGUGCAAAACUUGGAAUGUUUUCUUUUAAAUAUCUUUCAUUUUCCAGGAUCCGAAUGAGGAGCAGUCUCCUCUAGAAUGACUACAUAUCUGGAAUUGUUUUGAAUUCUUUGACUGACUUUAACAGCUUCUUUGGAAUAAUGUUAAUGUAAGCUACUUUUAUGGUAAUCUUGGGUGAGUUAAAACCUGUAAUGCCAUCUGCCUUGAUGGUUGAAUGGUGAAAUACAUACUCUCUUAAUGUUAUUAAAAGUCCACAGACUCAAGUCUGGUGAGACCAGAAUGGUAUGGAUUCCAACAACAACAACAACAAAGUGCUUUUCUUCAUUCUGUGUAUACCUUGGUGAGAUGGAAAGAAACUGACAUCUUUGCUCUUCCUCUGUGUUGUGUGGGGAUGUGGAGUAGAUUUGUGUAGGAAUUGACUCCUCCAAGGACUACAUGUUUUCUUUUUCUUUUGCUCAGCUUGGAUCUUCAGCUGCUUUUGCCUGUGGACUGGUCACACAUACCUUAAGGAGCUGCCUUUGUUGGCCUUGAAUUUUUAAACCCCCUGGUUUUCCUUAAAAUGUUAAGGGUUAUAGCGUAGCAGUAGGGCCCAGGGUGUAGAAGGGAGCAAAACGUUUCAGAGCAGGAGAGCUGGAGACUGUAGGCAUAGGAAAGAGCUGGAGUAUAGAGUAUUAGAGAAGGGGUGGCACUGAUAGCAGAGAGACCCUACUGUAAAGGUAGAUAUGGCUAAUAACACGUAGAGUACAAGGAAGGAUAAUAAAUCUGACAUCCUCAGCUUGUCUUUUUUUAAUGACAGUUUAAGCAUGGAAAACAGUAUAUUUUUUUAUGCCAAAGGAGCAAAAAACUGGUCACUUCACAGGUGAGGCAGUAACUGUGAGCUGCCCUGUAGGAUCUGUUGGAAGAAAGCCGGAGAAAUGACAAAAGCAAGGAAGCGGCAUGGGAAUGAUGAGCAGGUCAGCACACUGGAGAAGCAAAAUGAGGACAGUAGACGGGAAGGUAGAAGAAACAGUGAAAGAGGAGGCUGCAGCUGAAAAGGGGGGAAUUGUAAAAGGACACAGAAUUGUGGAGGAAAGAUAGACAGAAACAUGAAAUAAUGAAAGACUGCAGGUAAGCAACUUGUUCUCUGUGCCAAUCCUUCCUCUCUUCCUCCUGGACACGGCAGAACAAAACAUACUAGCAUGCAGUGGAGCACAGCAAUGAAAAAAUACACGCAAAAGAUGAACAGAUUGACUUCCCAAGUACUGUUGGCGUUCUUUAGUAAUGAUUUUUUUUUUCCGGAUCAUUUCUUUCUAUAUCAUGUACAAAGAAAAGACUCACUUUGCUUACCUUAAUGCAUUGAUUCGAAUCAAAUUCUCACCAAGAGCAUGAGCAGG